rnacentral:pre_miRNA from 1 species
GGCCACACGUUGUUUGGAAGACUAGUGAUUUUGUUGUUUUGAUUUGGGUAACAAGAAAUCACUAAUCUCCCUACAAAGUACGGCU